GACCCUGUUGAGCUUGACUCUAGUUUGACAUUGUGAAAAGACAUAGGGGGUGUAGAAUAGGUGGGAGCUUCGGCGCCGGUGAAAUACCACUACCCUUAUUGUUUUUUUACUUAUUCAAUGAAGCGGAACUGGGUGUCAAAGCCCAACUUCUAGCAUUAAGGUCCUUCGCGGGCUGAUCCGGGUUGAAGACAUUGUCAGGUGGGGAGUU
rnacentral:rRNA from 1 species